CUGCCCUCAAGCACGGCUUGUGUGUUGGGCCCCCCGUCCCCCCCUCCCGGGGGACGGGCCCGAAAGGCAGCGGCGGCACCGCGUCCGGUCCUCGAGCGUAUGGGGCUUUGUCACCCGCUCUGUAGGCCCGGCCGGCGCCUGCCGACCACCAUCAAUCUUUUUUCA
rnacentral:misc_RNA from 1 species